UCCCUGGUGGCCCAGAGGUUAAAGCGUCUGCCUCCAAUGCGGGAGACCUGGGUUCGAUUCCUGGGUUGGGAA
rnacentral:tRNA from 1 species